GCAAGUCGAACGAUGAAGCCUAGCUUGCUGGGUGGAUUAGUGGCGAACGGGUGAGUAACACGUGAGUAACCUGCCCCUGACUCUGGGAUAAGCCUGGGAAACUGGGUCUAAUACCGGAUAUGACCUCUUGCCGCAUGGUGGGUGGUGGAAAGAUUUAUCGGUUGGGGAUGGACUCGCGGCCUAUCAGCUUGUUGGUGGGGUAAUGGCCUACCAAGGCGACGACGGGUAGCCGGCCUGAGAGGGUGACCGGCCACACUGGGACUGAGACACGGCCCAGACUCCUACGGGAGGCAGCAGUGGGGAAUAUUGCACAAUGGGCGCAAGCCUGAUGCAGCGACGCCGCGUGAGGGAUGACGGCCUUCGGGUUGUAAACCUCUUUCAGUAGGGAAGAAGCGUAAGUGACGGUACCUGCAGAAGAAGCGCCGGCUAACUACGUGCCAGCAGCCGCGGUAAUACGUAGGGCGCAAGCGUUAUCCGGAUUUAUUGGGCGUAAAGAGCUCGUAGGCGGUUUGUCGCGUCUAUCGUGAAAGACCAGGGCUCAACCCUGGUUCUGCGGUGGGUACGGGCAGACUAGAGUGAUGUAGGGGAGACUGGAAUUCCUGGUGUAGCGGUGAAAUGCGCAGAUAUCAGGAGGAACACCGAUGGCGAAGGCAGGUCUCUGGGCAUUUACUGACGCUGAGGAGCGAAAGCAUGGGGAGCGAACAGGAUUAGAUACCCUGGUAGUCCAUGCCGUAAACGUUGGGCACUAGGUGUGGGGGACAUUCCACGUUUUCCGCGCCGUAGCUAACGCAUUAAGUGCCCCGCCUGGGGAGUACGGCCGCAAGGCUAAAACUCAAAGGAAUUGACGGGGGCCCGCACAAGCGGCGGAGCAUGCGGAUUAAUUCGAUGCAACGCGAAGAACCUUACCAAGGCUUGACAUGUUCCAGACCGCUCCAGAGAUGGGGUUUCCCUUUGGGGCUGGUUCACAGGUGGUGCAUGGUUGUCGUCAGCUCGUGUCGUGAGAUGUUGGGUUAAGUCCCGCAACGAGCGCAACCCUCGUUCCAUGUUGCCAGCACGUAGUGGUGGGGACUCAUGGGAGACUGCCGGGGUCAACUCGGAGGAAGGUGGGGAUGACGUCAAAUCAUCAUGCCCC
rnacentral:rRNA from 1 species